rnacentral:rRNA from 1 species
GUUGUAAUUUGCAGAGGAUGCUUUUGGCAAGGUGCCUUCCGAGUUCCCUGGAACGGGACGCCAUAGAGGGUGAGAGCCCCGUCUGGUCGGACACCGAGCCUCUGUAAAGCUCCUUCGACGAGUCGAGUAGUUUGGGAAUGCUGCUCAAAAUGGGAGGUAUAUGUCUUCUAAAGCUAAAUACCGGCCAGAGACCGAUAGCGCACAAGUAGAGUGAUCGAAAGAUGAAAAGCACUUUGAAAAGAGAGUUAAAUAGCACGUGAAAUUGUUGAAAGGGAAGCGUUUAUGACCAGACUUGGCCCGGUUGAUCAUCCAGCCUUCUGGCUGGUGCACUCUGCCGGUCCAGGCCAGCAUCAGUUCGCCGCGGGGGAUAAAGGUUUCGGGAAUGUAGCUCCUCCGGGAGUGUUAUAGCCCGUUGCGUAAUACCCUGCGGUGGACUGAGGUCCGCGCUCUGCAAGGAUGCUGGCGUAAUGGUCAUCAACGACCCGUCUUGAAACACGGA